CAGGUUGAUGGGUUCUCUAGCAGGGAGCAGCACACUUAAUGCUCGGUGCUUUAGAGGAUUUAAACAGAUCCCGCUGAUCUGUGUGGAUCUUCUUGCUCUCCUGCGCUGAGAACGUACUCUCUGGCUUUGCAGAAGAGUACACCUGGAUUAGGAAGAUGGUUGAUUCUGUGCCAGCAGUGGGAAGACAACACUGGUGAGAACACCGGCUUUGGCACGGACCGCCCAGACCACCCACCACCAGCCUGGACCGGCCUCUGCAAUACAAACAGAUCAGUAGAAAUGAGUCAGAGAUGAAUCCUGGCUGGCUUUGAACACUUUGGAACACGUAAGACGUGGGUGAGAUGUGGAUUCAGAUGUCAACCCGCAGGAGGUUUACCGUCCCACAUGUGCGUCCAGG